rnacentral:rRNA from 1 species
UCAGACGAUGCGUCAUGCAUAUCAAUAAGCGGAGGAAAAGAAACUAACAAGGAUUCCCCUAGUAACGGCGAGUGAAGCGGGAAGAGCUCAAAUUUGAAAUCUUAAAGGGUUUCCCUUUACGAAUUGUAGUUUAAAGAAGUGUUUUCUGUUGAGGUUUUGGUAAAAGUUCUUUGGAAUAGGACAUCAUAGAGGGUGAGAAUCCCGUAUUUGACCUUUACUUUCAACUUUGUGAUACACUUUUAAAGAGUCGGAUUGUUUGGGAAUGCAGUCCAAAAUGGGUGGUAAAUUUCAUCUAAAGCUAAAUAUUGGCGAGAGACCGAUAGCGAACAAGUACCGUGAGGGAAAGAUGAAAAGAACUUUGAAAAGAGAGUUAAACAGUACGUGAAAUUGUCAAAAGGGAAGCGUUUGACACCAGUGUUGUUUUUCUGAAAAUCAAUUAAAGAACUGUUUAUGCUAAGCUGUUUAGACUUUAUCAGCUAAUCUGUUUAGUUUUGAGCUUUUCUUUAAUGCACUUUUCAGUUAACAAGUCAACAUCAAUUUCUUUUGCUGUAAAAAAGCUUGAGGAAGGUGGCUUGAGAUUCGUCUUAAGUGUUUAUAGCCUCUUGCCUAUGCAGUCGGAGAGAUUGAGGUCUGCAGCGUAGAUCCUUCGGGGCUAAAUGCAUUUGUGCUAAGUUAUAGCAUUUUAUAGACAACUUGUUGACUAUGAUUUGUCUUGUAGCUUACUCGCUUAUGUUAUUUUACCUACGCUUAGGAUGUUGAAUCUGUGCGAGACUAC